AUACGUAGGUGACAAGCGUUAUCCGGAUUUACUGGGCGUAAAGGGCGUGUAGGCGGUCUUGCAAGUCAGAAGUGAAAUUCCUGAGCUCAACUCGGGCGCUGCUUCUGAAACUGCAGGACUUGAGUGCUGGAGGGGAUAGCGGAAUUCCUAGUGGAGCGGUAAAAUGCGCAGAUAUUAGGAAGAACACCGGUGGCGAAGGCGGCUAUCUGGACAGUAACUGACGCUGAGGCGCGAAAGCGUGGGGAGAAAACAGGAUUAGAUCCCCUGGUGGUCCACGCCGUAAACGAUGAAUACUAGGUGUAGGGGGUAUCGACUCCCUCUGUGCCGCAGUUAACACAAUAAGUAUUCCGCCUGGGGAGUACGGCCGCAAGGUUGAAACUCAAAGGAAUUGACGGGG
rnacentral:rRNA from 1 species